UCCCUCUCUCUGUCCCCUUCUCCGUCUCUCUGUCUCUGUCUCUCCGACUUCCUCGGUCUCUCCCCUCCUCUCCUCCCCCACCCCUAGUGCCCCCAGAACAUGCGCCAAGAGCUAGGGCUGAGGCCGUGACCUCGUAAUAUUGGGUCCUCUCGCUGCAUGGCUGUGACUCCCAACAGGGAACCUCUCCCCAGUCCGGUCACAAAACACCCACCGGGCAGAGUACGCGCGCCCGAAUUCUCCCUCCCGUUGGGAAAUCCUUCUUACCCAACCUACAUGCCUUGUCCUGCAGCUUCAGCGUAUUCCAUGGUCUGCUUUCCAUUUUCAGUCACUUCUCUACUUAAGACUCUGAUCGAUGGAAAGUGGUCCCUUAGCAAACACUCAGUUCUGCGUCUGGACCCCUCGCUCCUUCUCUGCCGCGGAGGAGCCACGGGGUCUGGUGCUCGGGGAUCCUGGGAGAAGCCCUCCGCUCGGCCGCCACGCAGCUGCUGCCGGCCGGACCCGGGCGCGGCGUCCUCUCCCCCCUCACUUCACGUCAUUACCAAGAGAUGAUGCAGAUCUGGAAGCAGGAGCCCUUUGGCUCUGGAAAAAUUAUGUGUGACACUUUACAUGUGGAUCAGCUCGCUGCAGACCAUGGGGCCCCGGCUCCCCCGGGACUGACCAGCUAGAGCGCCCAGGCAGCCCGCCCACCAGUCCCGGGGCCCCAGGCUGCUGGUAAAGGUGCGGGCGGUGGACGGGCACCCCUAGAAGGCGAGAAGAUGGGAAGGUGCUUAGCGGCCUCUCUGCGGGAGUGGAGCUGCCCCUGACCAUGGCCGAGAGGACCGACAGCUCCUGGUUCAGCCCACGCAGCUGUCACAUUCCUGGUGACUGUCAGCCCUUCCACUGUCAGCCGGGGCCCUUGGGGUCCCUGCGAAUGUCCCCGUUCUCUGCUCACGUCUGACUCAUAUCCACGUGCGCAUUCAACGUGUCCACACGGAUGGGGCCUCAAAGUCAAGGCAAACUUAGCCUCUUCCUAUUUUAACCUGCGUCUGCCUCUGUCCUUCCAUGCCCAGACCGGAGGCUCAGAGUCAUCCUCACCCCCACUUCCUGAUGCAUCCUUAAUCCAGCGCUGCCUGUUCCGACCGACCCGGGAAAGGCAGAGGGGGAUAGAGUCUCGGAGACACAGGGAAGGACAUCGCGGGACCACAGAGGCCGCGUCCGGAGGCAGCCCUGAGGCAGUAACAUCCCGAGGCAGCAGGAGCUGGACGAGGCAAGAAAGACCCUCCCCUCGAGCCUUCAGAGGGAGCACGGCUUUGCUGACACCCUGAGUGCAGACUCUGGCCUCCAGAACUGUGCAGGAAUAAACUGCUGUAGCUUUAAGCUCCCCAGGUUGUGGUAACGCGUAUGGCAGCACGAGGCACCGGAUGCGAUCAGCUUAGGACCCGGGGAAUGGCGUGAUGAUUGUAAUAUUUGCCACCAUUUGCUGAGAUGAAUGUACUUGAACUCAACAAGGAGGGAAGUGCUGCUGUCCCAUUUCCUGGAUGAGGAAGCUGAGGCCCAGCCAGUCUGCACCACCUUGAAAGCCCUCCUCCAGGAAGAGGGUGCCCGGCCUGAGUCCAGAGGCAGCUGCUUGCGAUCUCCUGCUCACAUCUGUGGGCUCCAGCGAUCGCCAGAUGUUCACUCCAGCUUGCCCUGCAAGCCAGACGGCCCUGUGGAGACCCACGGCGUGGGGCGCUGCUCUCUGACUUCGGGUCCAGGAGCCAAGCUCUGCAGCCCAGCCCUGGGGCCCGCGACCCUGGGCCAGCGGCUCGGGCAGCUGCAGGGAAGGAUGGGCCUUCUCCUUCCUGUCUGUCCUACCAGCCUUUCCUCACCUGUCCUGACCCCAGCUGCUUGAGAUGGACAGACGGACAGCUGACUCCCAGCCUCCCCUGUUCGGGCAUCUUCUUUGCCGCUCUCAGUGGCUACCCUGCACAGAAGCAAAGAUAAAAUUGGUUUUAUUUAUUUA